rnacentral:rRNA from 1 species
UACGUAGGCAGCGAGCGUUGUUCGGAAUUACUGGGCGUAAAGAGUGUGUAGGCGGUUCUCUAAGUUCGUUGUGAAAUCUCCUGGCUUAACUGGGAGGGUGCGCCGGAAACUGGGGUGCUCGAGCGUGGGAGAGGAAAGCGGAAUUCCUGGUGUAGCGGUGAAAUGCGUAGAUAUCAGGAGGAACACCUGUGGUGUAGACAGCUUUCUGGACCAUUGCUGACGCUGAGACACGAAAGCGUGGGUAGCAAACAGG